CCUGUCGCUGCCCCUGGUGCUGGCCGUGGCGUGCGCGGCGCGCAGCGCCGACGGGCCCAGCAACAUGUCCUACGUGAAGGAGACGGUGGACAGGCUGCUGCAGGGCUACGACAUCCGCCUCCGGCCCGACUUCGGAGGUCCGCCGGUGGAUGUGGGCAUGCGGAUAGAGAUCGCCAGCAUCGACGUGGUCUCGGAAGUCAACAUGCCUGCAGCUUCAACUCGUGAGUCCGGGACCACUGUCACUGAGUUCAAAGGCCACCAACUUAAGUAGCCCUUACUUGUCAAGCUUCUCCUUUAUCACACAGUGUUGCUCUGCAACAGACUCUCUUC